rnacentral:rRNA from 1 species
CAUCCUCCAAGGCUAAAUACUCCUGACUGACCGAUAGUGAACCAGUACCGUGAGGGAAAGGCGAAAAGAACCCCGGCGAGGGGAGUGAAAAAGAACCUGAAACCGUGUACGUACAAGCAGUGGGAGCCUCUUAAUGGGGUGACUGCGUACCUUUUGUAUAAUGGGUCAGCGACUUAUAUUCUGUAGCAAGGUUAACCGAAUAGGGGAGCCGAAGGGAAACCGAGUCUUAACUGGGCGUUAAGUUGCAGGGUAUAGACCCGAAACC